rnacentral:rRNA from 1 species
GCCCAACCGUAAACUUUUAUUUACACUCAAAUCGCCUGGGAACUACGAGCAAAGCUUAAAACCCAAAGGACUUGACGGUACCCCAUAUCCACCUAGAGGAGCCUGUUCUAUAAUCGAUAAUCCACGUUCAACCUCACCAUUUUUAGCCUAUCAGCCUGUAUACCUCCGUCCUCAGCUUACCUCGUGAGUGCAACCUAGUAAGCUUAAUGCCCCCACGCCAAUACGUCAGGUCAAGGUGCAGCAAAUGAAAUGGGAAGAAAUGGGCUACACUCUCUAACCUAGAAAACACGAAAGACUACCUAUGAAACCUAGUCAGAAGGCGGAUUUAGAAGUAAAAAGAAAAUAGCAUAUUCUUUUUAACCCGGCACUGGGGUGUGUACACACCGCCCGUCACCCUCUUCACGAAAACCAAAAAGUAUUUAACACCACUUAUUCAGCCAGAAGAGGCAAGUCGUAACAUGGUAAGUAUACCGGAAGGUGUGCUUGGAAA